CCCGACUGGAGAGUGGUCGAUACUUACUGCGAUACAGGAUUGCAAUAUUAAAGAUUGCGUUUGGAAUUUUACUGCAGUUCAGGUAGGUCUGUUUAUGCAUUUUUACUAUUAGCACUUAGAUUUCGCCCUUUGAGAAUUCACAAAGGACGCAUGAAACAAGACGAAUCCGAACACAACUGACCAUAUGAGUUAUAGUUGUCUUGUCUCGCGUGAACGUAUAGUCCGAGGGCCUGUUUAUAUCGACUCGAGCGGACGGUGCCAGUCCAUAGGUAGCGACAGUAAUAAACAGCUGCGAUGUGAGAGAGAUACAACUACCUGAAAAAUAUAAACAGAACUUCAAAGUUUCGCGAAGCGAAGGGCCUUUGUAGUAGUAGUAGCUGCUAACGUCCUGACGCUCGAAUCGUCGAAGUUCGGCUUAUAUUUUUCAGAUAGUUGUAUCUCUCUCACACUGCCAACUGUCUGUUUAUAAAUGGAGGAGACUUACUCAUAAGCGGCGAGUCUUAUAAAUAACACAGAAUCGAAAUCGAAACAAAAGUACCACUCGAGUUGGAACCUUCCAUGUAAAUGGAGUUCGCACAUGUCAUCUCGCUCAUCUCGGCCGCCAUUUCGAUUUUCACUGUCCGAUAACUUUGAUCCUAUAACAUUUUUAGUUAUUUGGUCUUCAUAUCUUUUAAAAUUUCAUUUCAUUGGCACUUUUAUUAACUUUCAAAAACUGAAGAAUCGCGCCUCGUUGUCGAAUCACGAAUCAAGGAAGUAAAAUUCCAGAAAACGUUUCCUUCUAUAAAAUUAUCAAACAACGAAUGAUAUGUUUAAAAAGAAG